UACGGAGGGUGCAAGCGUUAUCCGGAUUCACUGGGUUUAAAGGGUGCGUAGGAGGGCAGGUAAGUCAGUGGUGAAAUCCCCGAGCUUAACUUGGGAACUGCCGUUGAUACUAUCUGUCUUGAAUACCGUGGAGGUGAGCGGAAUAUGUCAUGUAGCGGUGAAAUGCUUAGAUAUGACAUAGAACACCAAUUGCGAAGGCAGCUCGCUAAACUGUAACUGACGCUGAGGCACGAAAGCGUGGGGAGCAAAACAGG
rnacentral:rRNA from 1 species